GUUGCUUACAAUCUGUGUGUUUGUUGUAGUCCAAGAUCGCAUCAUCAUUUACCUUGGGGGGGAGAUUUCCAUUCAAAGGAGCUUUUGUUUGGACUGAUGAUUGUACACAUCCCUGCAAACAAAAUCAGUCCUGAUUACUUUCUAGGUCAAUUUUCCAGAAGAAUAUGUAAGAAUAUAGUUGAGGUGAGCCGAGAUCUUGGAGAGCAGAAAUGAAAAAGGGUUGUACACACGCUAAGACAGUUCUUGAGAUGAGAGCGCUCUGGAGACGGUCUCUUUAUGUAGACAAGGACCACUGAGCCUUUCUGCUUAUUAGUGGAGAGAAUUGGGCGUCUACAUAAAGCAGGACUGAAGGAGCUUGGUGGCUGUAUUGAGCUGUUGUUUCCCAAAGCAUUACUUUGUGCAUUUGUGUCAUUCCCGUAGCUCUCGUUAGACUUUAUUUUGCAUGACCUCACUACUCAACAAAUGUCUUUAUUAGGUAAGCCAA